rnacentral:snRNA from 1 species
AUUCUUCUUUUAGGGGUGAUUUCAUGAUCACGAAGGCAGUUUCCCCAGGGUGAGGCUUACGCAUUGCACUCCAGAUGGGCUGACCUCUGUGAUUUCCCCAAAUUCAGGAAACUUGAUUGCAUAAUUUGUGGUAGUGGGAGACUGUUUGUACUCUCUCCUA